rnacentral:rRNA from 1 species
AUGAACGCUGGCGGCGUGCCUAAUACAUGCCAGUCGAGCGAACAGACGAGGAGCUUGCUCCUCUGACGUUAGCGGCGGACGGGUGAGUAACACGUGGAUAACCUACCUAUAAGACUGGGAUAACUUCGGGAAACCGGAGCUAAUACCGGAUAAUAUAUUGAACCGCAUGGUUCAAUAGUGAAAGACGGUUUUGCUGUCACUUAUAGAUGGAUCCGCGCCGCAUUAGCUAGUUGGUAAGGUAACGGCUUACCAAGGCAACGAUGCGUAGCCGACCUGAGAGGGUGAUCGGCCACACCGGAACUGAGACACGGUCCAGACUCCUACGGGAGGCAGCAGUAGGGAAUCUUCCGCAAUGGGCGAAAGCCUGACGGAGCAACGCCGCGUGAGUGAUGAAGGUCUUCGGAUCGUAAAACUCUGUUAUUAGGGAAGAACAAAUGUGUAAGUAACUAUGCACGUCUUGACGGUACCUAAUCAGAAAGCCACGGCUAACUACGUG